UUGUUUUCUAGACUUUUUCACAAGCAGGGUAAUGUUUUACUUGCUUUUAUAUCCAAUUCCCACUGAAUGGAAGUUUUUCAUGUGCUGUCACUCCCACCUCCACUCCACCCCUCUAGUUCAUGAGCAAGUUUACUGAGCUCACCAGCAGCUCAUGUUUAUUUUCUUAUCUUAAGUUAGAGUGUGAAAUUAAAACACUUGAUUUGUCCUUGGCAAGUUUAAAUGAGUAUUAUUUAUACAGCACCGUAGGGGUCCGUAGCUCUUUGCGAGCAAAAAGAAACUGAAAUACCAUGGCAUGGGGUGAUGCACUGCCAGGGGCUUGCCAACACUCAUAGUGGGCACAAUGGAGCAAAUAGGGACAGAGAUUGCUUAGCUUGACUUGGUGCUUUGUGGCUCUGUGUUUUGCUCCUCACAGCUGGUCUGUCAAACCAGGACAUUUCACUAGAAAGACAUCAGUAUCCUUGUGUUAUUUGGGGCAUGGCCACUGAUGAGACUUUGCAGAACAUCUUAGUGCUGGGUAUAUUUCUGGCACCGGCUCUCACAAAUGUUGCCAGCCAAGUUUUACAACACUUCGUUGGGCUAUUGCCAGCAGCCAGGUCACAGCGUCAUGGAUCUCCAGGUAGAAAAACUGCCUUUAUGCACCUCUGGAGUGGCAGUAGGCCAGCUUAACCUCAGAGAAGAAAGAUUGUUAGCAGUGUCCUUGAAGCUGGGGAGCCAGAGAGCAGUGACUCCGCUGAGCAGGUCUGUCUGACCCAUGGCUCAAAGGCAGCUGUAAUCACUACAGCAAUAUCAACAGAAUGCCUUCCCCUGCACGCUUUCUGCUGCUGAAAGAGGGAGACACUUCUUAAUACAUCACUGCAAGAAGCUCAGAUACUCCCAU